CCGCCUACCAAAUUUCGUGAAGAUGGGGCCAUAAAUACGAAAGUUUAACAUGGCGGACGUUGUCAACCGUUAUGACCGUUACGCGUAGAAUUUCGAAAUGAAACCUGCUUAACUUGUGUAAGUAAGCUGUAAGGAAUGAGCCUGCCAAAUUUCAGCCUUCUACCUACACGGGAAGUUGGAGAAUUAGUGAUGAGUGAGUCAUUGAAUAUGGCGGCCGACAAUGGCGUCAUACCACCGAAAUAAGUACGUACACCAGUUUCGGUUAGCGCAGGGAAGCCGCCUACCAAAUUUCGUGAAAAUGGGGCCAUAAAUAAGAAAGUUUAACAUGGCGGACGUUGUCGACCAUUAUGACCGUUACGCGUAGAAUUUCAAAAUGAAACCUGCUUAACUUUUGUAAGUAAGCUGUAAGGAAUGAGCCUUCCAAAUUUCAGCCUUCUACCUACACGGGAAGUUGGAGAAUUAGUGAUGAGUGAGUCAGUGAGGGCUUUGCCUUUUAUUAGUAUAGACUAGCAAAAUACCCGCGCUUCGCAGCGGAGAAGUAGUGUGUUAAAGAGGUUAUGUAAA